AAAGGACUCCCUAUUCAAUAAAUGGUUCUGGGAUAAAUGGAUUGCCAUGUGCAGAAGAAUGAAACUGGAUCCCUAUCUUUCACCAUACGCAGAAAUCAACUCAAGGUGGAUUAAAGAUUUAAAGGUAAGACUGGAAACUAUUAAAAUACUAGAAAAAACCUAGGAAAACACUCUUCCGGACAUUAGCCUUGGCAAAGUAUUUAUGACUGAGACCUCUAAAUCAUAGGAACAAAAACAAAAGUAGGCAAAUGGGAGUUAAUUAAACUAAAAGCUUCUGCACAGCAAAAUAAAUCAUCAACAGAAUGAAUGGACAAUCUGAUGUAUGAGAGAAAAUAUAUGCAAAUUAUGCAACUGACAAAGGACUAACAUUCAGAAUCUAUGAGGAACUCAAACAUUUCAAUAAGAAAACAAUAAAUACCCCAUUAAAUAGUGGGCAAAAGACAUGAGUAGAUAUUUUCCAAAAGAAGACAUAGAAAUUACCAAUAAGCAUAGGAAAAAAUGCUCAACAUCACUAAUCAUCAGGGAAAUGCAAAUUAAAACCACAAUGAGAUAUCAUCUCACACCAGUCAGAAUAAUGGCUAUUAUUAAAAAGUUAAAAAAAAACAUAUAUUGGUGAGGAUGUGGAGAAAAGGAAACACUUAUAUACUGUUAAUGGGAAUGUAAAUUAUUAAAACCUCAAUAGAAAUCAGUGUGGAGAUUUCUUAAAGAACUAAAAAUAGAACUACAAUUUGAUCCAACAAUCUCAUUACUGGGUAUGUAUCUGAAAGAAAAUAAAUUAUUAUACCAAAAUGAUAACUGCACUUAUAUGUUUAUUGCCACACUAUUCACAGUAGCAAAGAUAUGGAAUCAACCUAAAUGUUCAUCAAUGAAUGAGUGGAUAAAGAAAAAUAUAUAUAUAUAUAUAUCUCCCAUGGAAUACAACUUACUUAAAAAAAAUUAAAUCAUGUCUUGCAGUAGUGUGGAUGGAACUAGAGACCAUUGUCUUAAGUGAAAUUACUCAGAAACAGAAAGUCAAAUACCACAUGUUGUCACUUAUAAAUGGGAGCUAAGUGAUGCCUACACAGGAAUAUAGAAAGUGGAAUAAUAGAUAUUGGAGGCUCAGGAGGGUGGAAGUGUUGAAGGAGGGUGAGGGAUGAAAAAUUACUUAAUGGAUGCAAUGUAUACUAUUGGGUUGAUGGCUUCACUAAGAGCUCAGACUUCACCACUAUGCAAUAUAUUCAUGUAACAAAACUGCACUUGUAUUCCUUAAAUCUAUAAUUUAAAAAAUGGAGGUCUAUGAACUGGCCACAAAUAAUUCAAAAUAAUCAUGUUAAAGAUGCUCAGCAAGCUACAAGAAAACAAAGAUAGAAAAUGAAACAAAAAUCAGAAAAAAUAAUAAAUAAAUAAUAUCAGAUGCUCAACAAAGAGAUAGAAAUUAUAAAAGGAACCAAACACAUAUCCUGGAGCUGAAGAAUACAGUGUCUGAACUGAAAAAUUCAAUAGAGAGCUUCAACAGCAAGCUCAAUCAAUCAGAAGAAAGAAUCAGCGAAUUCAAAAACAGGUUAUUUGAAAUUAUCCAAUCAAAGAAACAAUAUAAAAAUACAAUUAAAAUUAGUAGGCUGGUUUGAGUGCAGUGAUGCUUACAACUAAUUGAUCACAUCCAAUUACAGAUUUCUUUGCUCUUUCUGUACUCCCAGUGCUUCACUUGACUAGCCUUUAAAGAAAAAAAAAGAGUAAAGAAAGACUAUGGGAUAUAUGGGACAUCAUCAGAAGAAUAAAUAUACACAUUAUGGAACUCAAAGAAGGGUAAGAGAAAGAGAAAGGGCAGAUAGUUUAUUUAAAGAAAUAAUGGCUGAAAACUUCCCACUUAUGGUGAGGCAAAUGGACAUCCAAAUUCAUGAAGUCCAAAGGACUCCAAAUAUGUUGAAUGUAAAGAGGUCUAUGGAGAUAGAUAUUAUAAUUAAAUUAUCAAAAGUCAAAGAUAAGGAGAGAAUUUUGAAAACAGCAAAAGAAACAUGAGUCAUCACAUAUAAGAGAAUGUCCACACAAUUGAGUGGAUUUCUCAGCAAAUAAGAAAAUGUCCAUACAAUUGAGUGGAUUUCUCAGCAAAUAAGAAAAUGUCCAUACAAUUGAGUGGAUUUCUCAGCAAAAACCUUUCAGGCCAGGAAACAGUGUGAUGCUAUAUUAAAAGUGCUGAAAGAAAUUUAAAAAUGAAGGAGAGGCUGGGUGCAGUGGCUAACAUCUGUAAUCCUAGCACUUUAGGAGGCAGAGGUGGGCAGGUCACCUGAGUUCAGGAGUUCGAGACCAGCCUGGCCAACAUGGCAAAACCCCAUCUCUACUAAAAAUACAAAAAUUAGCUGGGCACAGUGGCACAUGCCUGUAAUCCCAGCUACUCAGAAGGCUGAGGCAGGAGAAUCGCUUAAACUCAGGAGGUGGAGGUUGCAGUGAGCCGAGAUUGCACCACUGCACUCCAGCCUGGGUGACAGACACCAUCUCAAAAAAAAAAAAAAAAAAAGGAGAGGAAACACUUUCUGAGAAAAACAGAAAUAGAAACUGAGGGGGUUUGUCAGCAAUAGCACUUCCUUACAAGAAGUGAUAAAGGGGCUGGGUGCGGUGGCUCAUGCUUGUAAUCCCAGCACUAUGGGAGGCCAAGGUGGGUGGAUCACUUGAGGUCAGGAGUUCGAGACCAGCCUGGCCAACAUGGCAAAAACCCAUCUCUACUAAAAGUACAAAAAUUAGCCAAGCCUGCCAAGAUCGUGCUACCGCACUCCAGCCUGGGUGACCGAGUGAGAUUCCAUCUCAAAAAAAAAAAAAAAAAAAAAAGCUAAACAGAUACUUGUUGAAAGCAUAUGAAAAUAUAAGUCUCACUAGUAAAGCUAAAUAUACAAAUACAUAAUCAUUUCACUGUAGCAGUAGUGCAUAAAACACAUUAAAUCCUAGAAUAUAACCAUAAAAGUUUGUUAAUGGAUACACAAUAUAAAAAUAAUUAAAUUUUGGCUUCAAUAACAUAACAUUUGGGUACAGGAGAGAAUAAAAAGUAUAGCGUUUUCACAUGCAAUUAAAGUUUAGUUAUUAUCAGCAUAAAAUAGAUUUUUACAACUAAAUGAAAUUUUGUGUAGUCUCAUGAUAACUACAAAGAAAAAAACCGAUAGUAGAUACAAAAAAAAAUACAAAACAAUUCAAAGAAUAUCACUACAAAAAUUCACUAAUCAUAAAGUAAGAUUUCAAGAGAGGAAGAUUAGACGAAAAUGAUUACAAAACACACAGAAAACAAUUAACAAAGUGGCAAUAAUAAGUCCCUAUCUAUCGAUAGCUACUUUAAAUGUAAAUGCAUUAAAUGCACAAAUCCAAAGAUAUAGAAUGGCUUAAUGUGAAAAAACAAACCCAAAACCUGUCUAUGUGCUGUUGACAAAAGACUCCUUUAGAUUUAAGAACACAUAUAGGCUGAAAGUAAGAGGACAGAAGAAGACAUUCCAUGCAAACAGUAACCAAAAGAGAGCAGGAGUUGUUAUACUUACAUUAGAUAAAAUAGGUUAUAAGUUGAAAACUGUCAGAAAAGAUAAAAAGGUUAUUACAUAGUGAUAAAGAAUUGAUUCAAUAGGAAUAUAUAACAAUUACAAAUAUAUAUGCAUCCAAUAUCAGAGUAACAAUAUGAUAAAGAAUUGAUUCAAAAGGAAUAUAUAACAAUUACAAACAUAUGUGCAUCCAAUAUCAGAGUAACAAUUUGAGUAUAUAUGUGUGUGUGCAUGCACAUGUGUUUAUAUCAAACAUUUAUAGAUCUGAAAAGAAGGAAUACAUAGAGGACUUCAAUAUCCCAGUUUAAAUAAUAGAAAAAACAACCAGACAUAAAAUUAAUAAGGAAAUGGCAGACUGCAACUUUAUAGGUCAAAUGGACCUAACAGACAUGUACAGAACAUUCCUUCCACCUGCUAUGGACUGAAUGUUUGUGUCCCCCCAAAAUUCAUUAUCGAAACCUAAUUCCCAUGUGAAGAUAUUUGGAGGUGGAGCCUUUGUGAGGUGAUUAGGUGAUGAGGUUGGAGCCAGCAAGAAUGGCAUUAGUGCCCUUAUAAAAUACAUUCUCACCCCUUCUGCCAUGUAAGGACACAGUGAAAGGACAGGUAUAUGUGAACAAGGAAGCAGGCUCUCACCAGACACUGAAUCAGCUAGUGCCUUGAUUUUGGAUGUCCCAGCCUGCAGAACUGUUAGAAACAAAUUUCGGUUGUCUGCAAACCAUCUAGUCUAUGGUAUUUUGUUAUAGCCACCUGACUGGACUAAGACACUACCAAUCAGCAAUAAGAUACACAUUCUUCUCAAGUGCAUCCUAUACACUCUCCAGGGAAGAUUACAUUCUUGGUCACAAAACAAGUCUCAACAAAUUUAAAAAUAUUAAGAUCAUUCCAAAUACCUUUUCUGACCCCAGGGGAAUCUAACUAGCAAUCAAUAACAAAAGAGAAAUGGAAAAAUUCACAAAUAUGUGAAAAUUAUACAGCACAUUCUUGAACAACCAUUAAAUCAAAGAAAAAACCCAAAGGAAAGUUAGAAAUUAUCUUGAGAGAAAAGAAAACAAAAAUACAACUCAACAAAACUUAUUAGAUGCAAAGAAGUGCCAAGAGAGAAGUUUAUAGUGGUAAACACCAAUAUUAAACAAGGAAAAAAAAUGUUAAUAACCUAACUUUAUACCUAAAAGGACUAGAAAAUAACAAACAAAGCCCAAAAUUAACAGGAGGAAGAAAAUAACAAAGAUGAGAGCAGAAAUAAAUAGAAGACGAAAAACAAUAGAAAAAAAUUAAGGAAACAAAGAGAUGAUUUAUUGAAAAGAUAAAGUCCACAAACACCUGGAACUAUGAAGAAAGAGAGGAUUCAAAUAAAUAAAAUCAGAAAUCAAAAAGAGUACAUUGUAAACAAUGCUACAGAAAUUUUUUUUCUUUUUAUUAUUAUUAUUAUUUUAAUUAUACUUUAAGUUUUAGGGUACAUGUGC
rnacentral:lncRNA from 1 species